rnacentral:rRNA from 1 species
AGUGAACGCUGGCGGUAGGCCUAACACAUGCAAGUCGAACGGCAGCACGGUAAGUGCUUGCUCUUACCGAUUGCGAGUCGCGGACGGAUUAGAUCUGCAUCGGUCUCUACUUUUUCGUUGGGGCUACCGUAGGCGGACUUACACUAAUACCGCAUACGGCCUACAGGUGAGAGCCGUUGAUCUUCGGCCCUUGCGCGAUUGCCUGAGCCGAUGUCGGAGUAGCUAGUUGGGGGGGUAAAGGACCACCACGGCGACGAUCCGUAGCUGGUCUGAGAGGAUGAUCAGGCAAACUUGAAACGAGAAACGGGCCAGACUCCUACGGGAGGCAGCAGUGGGGAAUAUUGGACAAUGGGCGGAAGCCUGAUCCAGCCAAAGCGGGGGGGUGAAGAAGGCCUUCGGGGUGUAAAGGCCUUUUGUUGGGGAAGAAAAGCAGCAGGUUAAUACCGGGCGGGUGUGACGGUACCCAAAGAAUAAGCACCGGCUAACUUCGUU